AAGGGAAGUGGGAGUUUAAGUCUAUAAAAAUGCGGAGCUGUGUGGAGCUGCUCUGGCCUUUAAGAAGGGCAAAGAGGAGGUCUCUCUCACCCAGGAAAGCUAAGUGGCAGCUGCAGGCACUGUGCUGACCUGGGCUGUCCAAGUUCUCCAGUUACUCUGGUCUACAGCUGGAGAUCCCAUGGCCACAGCCAGCCAAGGCCCUUGGAAACACGCUGAAGACGUCUCUUUCUACCCAACUAUUUACUCGAGAGCUUCAUAUUAAAGCCAGAAUCGCAUUGUUUUUUCUAAGCAGAAUACAACCACGUGGAAUGUCUGAGCUCAAAUAUGAACCCAGAGCAAAUUUAAAACACCAUAGGUGGGUUAUCAACCAACUCUGACACAUUGCAAAUGGUCUGGUUCUUUUCUUUUCUUUGAGCAGAUGAGCAACCAAAUGAGGGAGUCCCUGCAGGAGAAAAGCAUGGCAAAGCUUACUGCGUUUCAGACAACCGUUGUAAAUAGCUGGCCUGGUUUCACCACAAGAACAAAGCAAGAUGAGGGGCUCAAGACUUCACCAAGCAGAUCUGUAUCUGAAAUCCCGAUAGAUCCAGUUGAAAGCUAUGGUACCUUAAGCAUUUUAUUAACCAUUUCUUAACCAUUUCUCUCAGGCUAUUUCCUUAUGGACAAAGAUGGACAAAGUCCCACCAAAAAACAGAGUGGAUGCAAUGUAGUUAGCAGCUGCUGGACGUAAGAGGGCUGAAUUCAGACAUUAGAACCCAGAGGUGUGGGACCUGAAGUUUGAUGAGUUUUGUUCCAUCACAGAAGCAAAGUGAAGAAUGACCGACAUAGAACAAAAACCCUGCCCUCAAGAAAUCCUGACUGUCUAGCUUGUCUUUGUAAAAUAUCAGUAAAUAUCUGUCCUUAAACAUUUUCUGAUUUUUCCAAGUGUGCAUCAGUCAUAUUAAGAAAUCACACAUGUUCUUAGAUUUGGAAUUCCAUUUCAGUAGCACAGCAUAUACUUCACAUGAGUUCUGGAUUUAAGCUC